rnacentral:lncRNA from 1 species
UUUUAUACUAAAAUAGUUAACAAGUGAACUCAAGAAAAAAAUAUAUUCAUAAAUAAGAAGUAUUAUUUUUAGAACACCGAAAUAUAUUAAUUUGAAAUUUUGAAUAGUCGCCGGCUACCAACAUGAGCCAUUCCAUUUGGAUUAGGUCCUGCAUGUGAUUUGAGUUGAAGCAACCACAUUAUUUCUGGUAAAUUUUGUGCAAACCCAGCACACAAGUAUCGUCUAAGGUGCAAUGCAAAGACAUUACAAGACAUCAAAACCAGUAAACGUAUGAAAUACAACUUCAGCAGAAAUAAACAUAAAGCUUUCUUGCGAACAACUUCCCAUCUCAUU